AUUGAACGCUGGCGGCAGGCCUAACACAUGCAAGUCGAGCGGUAGCACAGAGAGCUUGCUCUCGGGUGACGAGCGGCGGACGGGUGAGUAAUGUCUGGGAAACUGCCCGAUGGAGGGGGAUAACUACUGGAAACGGUAGCUAAUACCGCAUAACGUCGCAAGACCAAAGAGGGGGACCUUCGGGCCUCUUGCCAUCGGAUGUGCCCAGAUGGGAUUAGCUAGUAGGUGGGGUAACGGCUCACCUAGGCGACGAUCCCUAGCUGGUCUGAGAGGAUGACCAGCCACACUGGAACUGAGACACGGUCCAGACUCCUACGGGAGGCAGCAGUGGGGAAUAUUGCACAAUGGGCGCAAGCCUGAUGCAGCCAUGCCGCGUGUAUGAAGAAGGCCUUCGGGUUGUAAAGUACUUUCAGCGGGGAGGAAGGUGUUGAGGUUAAUAACCUCAGCAAUUGACGUUACCCGCGGAAGAAGCACCGGCUAACUCCGUGCCAGCAGCCGCAGUAA
rnacentral:rRNA from 1 species